UACCAGCACCCCGAGUGGUCGGGACGAUUAUUGGGCCUAAAGCAUCCGUAGCCGGUUCUACAAGUCUUCCGUUAAAUCCACCUGCUUAACAGAUGGGCUGCGGAGGAUACUAUAGAGCUAGGAGGCGGGAGAGGCAAGCGGUACUUAGUGGGUAGGGGUAAAAUCCGUUGAUCCAUUGAAGACCACCAGUGGCGAAGGCGGCUUGCCAGAACGCACUCGACGGUGAGGGAUGAAAGCUGGGGAGCAAACCGG
rnacentral:rRNA from 1 species